UGGGGAAUAUUGCACAAUGGGCGGAAGCCUGAUGCAGCGACGCCGCGUGAGGGACGAAGGUCUUCGGAUUGUAAACCUCUUUCAGCAGGGACGAAGCGAAAGUGACUGUACCUGCAGAAGAAGCACCGGCUAACUACGUGCCAGCAGCCGCGGUAAUACGUAGGGUGCAAGCGUUGUCCGGAUUUAUUGGGCGUAAAGAGCUCGUAGGCGGUUCGUCACGUCGGAUGUGAAAACCUGGGGCUUAACCCCGGGCCUGCAUACGAUACGGGCGAACUAGAGUUCGGUAGGGNGGACUGGAAUUCCUGGUGUAGCGGUGAGAUGCGCAGAUAUCAGGAGGAACACCGGUGGCGAAGGCGGGUCUCUGGGCCGAUACUGACGCUGAGGAGCGAAAGCGUGGGGAGCAAACA
rnacentral:rRNA from 1 species